rnacentral:lncRNA from 1 species
GCACCCAGGUGAAAUAAACAGCCAUGUAGCUCACACAACGCCUGUUUGGUGGUCUCUUCACACGGACGCACAUGAAAUUUGGUGCCCUGACUCGGAUCGGGGGACCUCCCUUGGGAGAUCAAUCCCCUGUCCUCCUGUUCUUUGCUCCCUGAGAAAGAUCCACCUAUGACUUCAGGUCCUCAGACUGACCAGCCCAAGGAACAUCUCACCAAUUUUAAAUCAGCGGCCAGGCGUUCCUCCAGAACCUCCUCCCACAGGAACUUGCUACACGUGCUGGAAAUCUGGCAACUGGACCAAGGAAUGCCCGCAGCCCGGGAUUCCUAAGCCGCAUCCCAUCUGUGUGGGACCCCACGGAAAAUCGGACUGUUCAACUCACCUGGCAGCCACUCCCAGAGCCCCUGGAACUCUGGCCCAAGGCUCUCUGACUCCUUCCCAGAUCUUCUCGGCCUAGCGGUUGAAGACUGACACUGCCCAAUCACCUCGGAAGCCCCCUAGACCAUCACGGACGCCGAGCUUCAGGUAACUCUCACAGUGGAAGGAAACGACGAGGCUGAAUCCUGUUGGAGUGAUUUGUUCUUCGGACUUUGUAUCUUAAAUGAAAUCUUCUCCCUUAGAGGCCACAUAAACUGAUGGUACAAUCUGCAACUCUAAGCAAAUUCAUAGGUUAUACUUUUUCUUCUUCAUACUUGACAUUUGAACCUAGCAAGUUUGAAUAGCCUGUAAUUUGAAAACUCCCUUGCACAUCUAGCAGAUCAAGGUAGCUUGUUCUGCCUUCUGGACAAAUGGUGCCCUUAAGUCAGCUUAGGGAGACUGUUCCGAUAUCAAGAUUCUGUUUGAAUACUAUAUACUCUCAGCUGCUUAUUUAUUCAUAUAUAUAUGACACGUUUAUCAUGGAAGUAUUUCAAAACUAUCUGAAAAUGAAUAUUGAUUAUUAAGGCAUUCAGUUUUAGGAAGAAAACAUACAUAAAUAUAUGAUCUUCAUUAUUUUCCUUUCUCCAUGCAAUUUCAAUAGAUAUUUAUCAAGAACUCAAAAUAUGCCUAGCACUGCCUAGGUGUUGGAAACAUUAGAGAAAUUAAAACAGAUAAAUUCCUUCCUUUAGUAGACUUAGUCUAACUAAAUAAAUGAUUUUUAAAAGGGCAUAAUAAAUGGUAUAAGCAAAAGAAAAUGAAGGUGAGGGGAAUAGGGCAUGCCAAGUAGGGAGCUGCUAUUUUAAUGAGGCCUAGGAGAAAACCAUUUAUAAGGUGACAUUUGAGCAGAGACCUAAAGAAAGUGAGAAAACGUGAUACAUGUAUGUACAUGGAAAAAGAAUAUAAUAAGCAAAAAAAAAAAAAAAAAUGGAGGCCAAGAGGGAAUCUUAUGCAUUACACAGAUUUUGAACUAAAAGCAAGAAGGCCAUAAUGGCUAAAAAUAAAUGAGGAUUCAUUAAAGAGGGUGAAGAAUAUAGAGAGUUAGGACUAUUGCUGUGAUGUAAAGUCAUUGGAGAGAUGACCUGAGAGAUUAGAACCCUGGGGUAACUUACAUUUCAUUUGCUGUUUUAUUCCAAAGUGAUAUUCAUUAUCUAAAGAAAAAAAUCAAAUAUACAGAAAUGAUAAAAUACAAAACAAUGCUGACCUUUAAGAAACAUUGACCUAUAAAUACUAAGAUGUUAAAUAUUUGUUUCUUGUGAUUUGUAUCUUUAUUGAUGUGAUAAUUAUGUAUCUAUAAGUUUGUGAGUAAAAUACAUAACAAGCCUG